UGUAGCUUAGUGGUAGAAUGCUUGCCUCACAUGCAGUAGGCCCUGGGUUCAAUUCCCAGCA
rnacentral:tRNA from 1 species